GCCGGGCGCCGUGGCUGGUGCCUGUGAUCCCAGCGGCGGGGGAGGCUGAGGCCGGCGGAUCGCUUGAGCUUCGGAGUUCUGGGCUGCAGCGGGCUGUGCCGAGCGGGUGUCCGCACUGAGUUCGGCAUCGAUAUGGGGAUCCCGGGGAAGCUCGGGGUCCCCAGGUUGCCUAAGGAGGAGUGAACCGGCCCAGGCCGGGAACGGAGCAGGUCAAAGCUCCCGUGCCGAUCAGUAGUGGGAUCGCGCCUGUGAAUGGCCCCUGGAGCGUAGCCUGGGCGAGACAGUGAGACCCGGUCUCUU
rnacentral:SRP_RNA from 1 species